CAUCACGUUGAAACACCGGUUCCCAUGCAAUCACGAAAGUUAAGCAACGUCGAGCUUGGUCAGUAGCUAGAGGGGUGAUCGCUUGGAAAUGCCAAGUGCUGUAAG